AAAAAGAGGAGAAAGAAAGAAGCGGCGCCGACACUAAAAGGAAAAACAACUUCAGGUUUCUUUUCCUUUGUUUAUGUCUGAAUAGUGGCUGGUUUGGGUCGACCAUAAGGUCGUGAUGACGGCUAAUAAUUAAAGCUAAUGAGGUGCUAAUGAUUGCUAGAAUGAUUCAACUUCAAAUAGGGCAAACUUUUAGCAUAUUGUCAACCUGUAAGUUGGCACCAGUGGCUUCCUAAUGUGGCUUCGAUGUUUGGAAUUUUCUUCGAUAUCACAUUAUGAUUCAAGUUUUGAUAUAUUGGGAUUGGAAACAGUGUGAGGCAUUGAAGAAGGGAAGGACAUUGGUGGAUUAGCUUGCUUUACUUCGAUUCGUCGAUUGAGUGCACCGAGUGUUUCACCGACUUCAACACGACCUCAGCUCUAGUCAGCCUCCAGUUCAUACGAUUUUAGGGUAAGCUAUCCUUCUAGCUCGUGAUGGAUUCUCUCGGUUAUGGCAUGGUGUCCUUAGUUUUCAGACACAUUUUGUUAUUUAUUUGUUCUGGUGUUUGACAUUUCCAGACUUAGUUUUAGAAUUUAGAUAUCCUUAAUGUGAUGAAUUUCAGCUUUUGGUGAACGUUAUGUAAUAAAUU